GGCCCAGAUCGUUUACCGUGAAAAAAUUAGAGUGUUCAAAGCAGGCAGACCAUUCUUCUGCCACCGAAUACAUUAGCAUGGGAUAAUGGAAUAGGACCCUGUCCUCCUAUUUUGCGUGUUGGUUUUCGAGGACCGGGUAAUGAUUAAUAGGGAUAGUUGGGGGCAUUAAUAUUUAAUUGUCAGAGGUGAAAUUCUUGGAUUUAUGAAAGAUUGACUUCUGCGAAAGCAUCUGCCAAGGAUGUUUUCAUUAAUCAAGAACGAAAGUUAGGGGAUCGAAGACGAUCAGAUACCGUCGUAGUCUUAACCAUAAACGAUGCCGACCAGCGAUUAGGAGACGUUGAAUACAAAACACCACCGUCGGGUCGGCCGUCCUUGGCCGUCGUGCGCGGCGACGCGCGCGGCGGCGAGGGCGGUGUCUGCCCGACGGCCCGGUGAAUGACUCCCCUAGCAGCUUGUGAGAAA
rnacentral:rRNA from 1 species